rnacentral:rRNA from 1 species
AGUGGCGGACGGGUGAGUAACGCGUGGGUAACCUGCCCCAUACAGGGGGAUAACAGAUAGAAAUGUCUGCUAAUACCGCAUAAGACCACAGCGCCGCAUGGCGCAGGGGUAAAAACUCCGGUGGUAUGGGAUGGACCCGCGUCUGAUUAGCUAGUUGGUGGGGUAAAGGCCCACCAAGGCGACGAUCAGUAGCCGACCUGAGAGGGUGACCGGCCACAUUGGAACUGAGACNCGGUCCAAACUCCUACGGGAGGCAGCAG